GGGAAGGUGCCAGAGUGGUCGAACGGGGCCGCCUGCUAAGCGGUUGAUGGCUUUUAUUGGUCAUCCGAGGGUUCGAAUCCCUCCCUUCCCG
rnacentral:tRNA from 1 species